rnacentral:lncRNA from 1 species
AUGCAUCUCAUCUCAAGCAUCAUGCUCAUGUUGUCACCUAAUGCUAGACUGGCGAUUUAUAGCACCAUAAACUGUCUCUUAAGGAUCCAGAAAGAGUUGAAUACAUCUCAUACAACAUUGCAACUCUUGCAGGCCAAUGUGAUGCAAAGUGGUAUAAAAGUUUUUGGAAGAGGAAAGCUCAAAAGGACACCAUCAAAGGUAGAAGUAAUUGUGCUGUGA